CAAAUUAAAGCUUAAUUAGUUAAGCAAUUUAUUUACAUUAAAAAGAAGUUGUGCAAUUCAAUAUAAUUUGA
rnacentral:tRNA from 1 species